CCUGCUCUCAGUGGCGUGUUUUCAGGUGAUCCCUGCUCUGUCCGUCAGUCCUGACUCUGCCUGCAGUCUGGGUCUUGUGAUCCAUCCCAGCAGGAUGGGCAACCUCCUCCCAGUGAAGGCUCAGAGAGACACCGAAGAGCCAAUGGAAGUGGACAUGGCGAGAGAUGUGAAAGACGAUGUAGAGGAGAUGGAGGUGGACGUGAAAGAGGAUGUAGAAGAGGAGAUGGAAGUAGAGGAGGAAGGCGAGAAGGAGGAGGCCAUGAUCCUGGGAUAAGGACACCCCAUCCCAUCAGCAGGACUGACGGACCUGCCGGCCAUGGAAUCGGCCACUUGUACAUAUGUUAUUCACCCUUUUCCCAGUUUUUCUGUAAAUACGUUUUAUAUUAGUGAAGUUUUAAGAAGUUUGUUGUUUUUAUAUAGAAGAUAGUUUAAGAAGAUAGAUUUUUAAUAAGAAGAUAGUUUUUUAUUAAGAAAAUAGUUUUUAAGAAGAUAAGUUUCCUUUUUAAGAAGAUAGCUUUUUCUUAAGA